AUCAAGAAGAAGUACAAAAUGCUGAGCUGGAGAUGCUGUUAACUUGCAGUUCAUAAUAUUGUGAAGUUUUGUUGUGUUUUGUGUUCCGUUUCCCAGAGCUGUUUGUUCUGGACUCUUAUUUCACCAUAUUUAAGCAUGUGAUGCAACAGAGAAAAUACUACAGGGUGAAUUGGUGCCCAACCAUACUCAGGAGAACAUCUGGAGAAGAUAGAACAGGGAUGGUGCAGAUUCAGGGGAGAGCAAAAUACUUCAUGUUUCAGAAGAACCUAGACAGAUUUUUCCAAAUGCGUCUCUACUUGUUUGUCAUUCACACUGACGUAUGGACCCCCUUCCCUCCCCUCUUUUUGGUAAAGUGACAGUGAGAUUCAGAUGCCUAUACGAGAGCUUGCAGCAGCUGUUUUGGAUGUCCUCAAGAUGUAAGAAGGUCCCAGCAGAGCAGGCCGAUGUGAUGGAGGAUGAAAGAAAAUUGACCUUCUGGAGAUUUGAUUGGGCACCAAGCAGGACAACAUGAGCACAGGCAGGCUACGUGUUGUUUUCAUAUAGGAGUUCUCCAGAAGAGACAAACCAGAAGCCAUUUGAAAUUCUGCCCUACUGAAACCUGCAGUUGUAUUGCUACCGUAGUACUUCUGUGGCUUUAUGGAUGGAAAACAGAAUACGUACCACUCUGACUAAACCUAUGGGACUGGAAACAUUAGAAGUGCACAUGCUGUAUUUCAAGAGAGUCUUUUUCUUUUAAUGAACAAGUACGAAUAUUGAUUACCCAAACAGCAAAAUGUACAAAACAAUGCAUGUGUUUGCAAGUUAGAAGAUAGAGGAAAGUUUAUGAGGUUAGAGGUAAAAAAAUACUUUUUAAAUGUGUAUGACUCAAAUAUAUUCUGUGAAAAUUGUAUUUUUCACUGUAGCUUUUAAAUUUAAGUGCUGUUAAGAACAAGAAACAAAAUAGAUAAAUUUUAUGUUCAAUAUAUCUCAAUUUUGUCUUCUCUACAUAAUUGUUGGUAAUAUUUUUUCUAUGCUGAGAUUUCUUUCUUUCCCUCUUUCUUCCUGUUUUCUGCCAGAAGUGGCAUAUGAGAAACAUCAUUUUCAUCUUGCACUGAAGAACGUGAAAUGAAGCCAGUGCAAACCCUACUUCUCUAGAAGGUUCUAGUUCACUAUAGAGGUUUUUUCAGGAGCCUGGCAGAACUAUCACUCUCUCUAGGUACAGAUAUCUUUGCUCAGUGCUAGAACUUUCAUCUUUUCUGAAUAAAAGUCCAUGUAUCAGGACAUAAAGAAGCAGUAUGUACAGACACUGCACAUCAGUGGAAAUUACCUACUUAAAGUAAAAUAUAGUAGGUCAUCUGUGGUAAUAUUGAACACUGAUGGAACACACCCUACAAUGUACUGAUGUGUAUCUUUGUCGUGCAUAACUAUGACUAUUUGGUACUCACAGGGAAGCCAAACACAGGGAAUAGCCAUCCCUUCACUAACUACUGAGAGUUAAAUGAAAUGAUUAAUACUUAACAAAACAGUUCCAUAGAUAGGUACACCUGGCAUAGAGAGUAGAUAGGUAAGUUUUUAGCAUGAACAUUUAAAGAACUUGAAGUGGUCAUUGGAACAAACUCACAUACGCGCUACUAUGGCUUCUGUUUGAAAAGUUAGCUGUCAGUAUGGCUUAACAUCAAAGGAAAUAGCUUUUCAACAGUUGUCAAGCAUCACAGACUCUGAAUAUUGUUGAUGUUCUUGAUAUUUUCAGUCUGGCUCUAGACAUUACUCUGUUCAUAUUUUAGUCACCUUGGAGAGAUGAAUGAAUUUCAGUUAUCCAUCUGGUAGUGGCCUCAUCUACUGCAUCACAGUUACAGCUGCUACUGUCUUGUACACUGUGAAUGAAUCGACAACAGUCCUGGAGUAGUAUUUUUCCUCGGAUGACUGUAAGGGGUAAGGGAAGAACUGCUUCCUUUCCUGAAGAAGGGUAAUAUAGCACGUUGUUGCCUUCCCGUUAUAGAAAGCAUUUCAGGAAGCUGAUGACAUCCAACUGUAUAUGCCUACGAUUAUGUCAACAGAGAUGCUUUAACUAAAAGAAUGUUUCCCAGUAGUCAUCAGCCUUCAGCACUCCUACUUCCCAAGCUGCUAUCAGAUAUGAACACUAUAGCAGCAAUUGAAUUUGCUUUUUACGAUCAGUGCAAGGCCUUUAUUGCUGUAGACAGACUGCUGCUGGCAUUAUCAUAUUUUUUCUUAUUUCAAGAUUAGAUUAAUGCAAUAAAACUUCACCUUUAAAAAUAAGCUGCCGGAGAAUACUACAGUUUAUAUGACAUGAGAAAGACUACCUAGAUAAAAUGCAGGAAUUAAAGAUAAGGACCUCUACUCGUGUUCAGACAGAAACUAAUGAGUUAUGUAGUUACCCGAAGAACCUUGACAAGUCAUAGGACCUGUUCAGUGUCCAACAAACAAACUAAAACAACAACAAACAUGCCUGCCCCCACCACUACUAUACAAUCUCCCUCCCAACCCACAAGCCCUAUUUACCCAGCCCUGCCCCCUCUCUAUUUCUUCCCUCCUGGGAAACUCCAAAGUUCAAUCCAAAGCAGGAGUAUUUCUGCUUCCUCGGUAGAUGAGGUUGCAGGCAGGCCAGUCUUCUUGGGAGCUAUACCUUCACUUAGCUCUUGAAGCAGAACUAAUUCAACCUUCAUCUCCGAUGCAUUCUUAAUCCCCCUUUCCUGGUAGUGUAGGAAGGUGGAGGAAGAUAGAACACAAGGUAUGCAGAAAGGCUUUUAUGUAGAUUUUCUGUUUUUGCAGGAUAGUUGAUGAAGAAAGAUGUCAUACUGAUUUACUUAUUUAAAACUAAUGGUGCGUUAUCUACAUUUUGUCACAGCAUUCAGCUUUUCCAAGGGCAUUCUUCCAAUGAUUUAAAUUCAGACUUCAGGCACUCAUGACAAAAUAAAAGAUGAGAGGUAUUCCCUAAGUCAUUUAUCCUUAAUUACGCAGGCAGCCUCAGCAUGUAGCUCUGCCUCCAUUUUUGUACCGUUCAGAUUAGAAAAACAAUUCAGAUUAAGGCAUGGCAAAGCAGAGCUUGAAUUUGCAUUGAAAUGCACGAGUGAGUCCAGUAACUGCUGGUGUGCAACAUCUUAUUCACCAGUAAAUAAAUGGAAAAUAGCUUAGUAUAAGAUGUAUUGUUCUGAGUAGGCAAGACAACGGACAUUUAUUUCAUAUCUCCUGUUGGUAUUUCUUACCUUAUAUUGUGUGCUCGCUUCAUCUGCUCAUAUCCAAGCAGUGGAAGCACUUUAUGUGCAGGAAGCAAUAAUGAAGCGGUAUGGGACAGCUGUACCGAAUCUUCUGAAAAAAAAAAGUCUCCAUAUGCUAUUUUUAGUGUCAGAAUUGGUAGUCCAAAAUAAUCCCUCUGACAUUAUCUAAGUUCACCUAAUUGUAAGACACAGCCUGCAGUCUGACACAGGCGGCCUCAAUCAGAUCAGAGCAUUCAGUGAGCAGUUUUCCCACUCGCUGGUCAAAAACUAGCAGAUCAAUGAAGGGCUAUAAAAAUGCACCACCCUUCAGGCUGGUCCGUAAUAAGCAGAAGAGGACGACAGUUUAGGUCGGCACGUAAGGUUUGGUUUUGCUCAUCGGGCUUUUAAAACAAGAGAGGAAUGGAGCAAACACAACCUUGUUAUUAAAUGGAAGCAGCACUGUGUCACCAUCCAUAGCCACGCUGCAGGGUGCUGCAACAGAGGGACCAGCGACCCACGUUUAAAGAAAGCAAAACAAAACAGUAGCCUGCGAAGCUGCUACUCUCUUUGAUAAUAGAGGUGAUAACAAAAAAAAAAAAAAAAAACGACGGAAGCAAUAAAAGUCUUAUCUUACAAAAACCAUUAAAUUUUACUUUACAUAAAGCAAACCCGGAAGUGCAAUACAAAUUAUUGUGUCUGGAUAAAGAGUUGUACGUGUUUAAAUGAGAACGAUCCAACAGACGCUGGAAGGACAGCAGACACCCAAGGCACUCUCACUACGAUGGGAACUACGCUUUCUCUGCAUUCUCGCCCACGCUUUGUGUCGAGAAGCGGGACAGCAGCUCGGCAACACCCAGUAACGCCGCACACCAGUCAGGAAGGCAUCGCGGCGCUGCUUUCGGUGCUGGAAGCACUAUUCACCCUGACUUAACCCAGCGCUUUCAUCUUCUUCAAAUGCCGCGCAGCACGCGUGGAAAUAACAGGCGAAUUCUUUGGGAGUUCCAAGCGGUACGUCCGCUUUUACGCUCCUAGCAGAACCGACUGUUUCCAGCCAGCUAAACGAAGCGUGAAGCGGUUUUUACUGCGCUUUAUGACCGCUUACUGCACGCCGCCUCAUCGCCUCAGCGACGGCCUCGCAGGGAAGCGGCGCGCGAAGAGCCGCGCAGAGCCCCGCGUCCCGCCGCCCGCCCGCCAGAAGCGGAGAUGCCGGGGUCCCUCUGCGGCCCCCGACGCCGCAGGCGGACGUUAAACGGCUCCCAACGGCGAGAGGACGGCGGCCCGGCUGAGGAGCCGGAGAGGAGGGUGGCUCGCUGCAGCCCCUUCUCCGCGCCCUUUACCCCGAGGCCGAGAGUCCCCACGCGCCGUCCCGUACCUCAGCCCGCGCCGCUCCCCGCUCCAGUCGCGCGGCCGCUUUAAGGAUUACAAAUCGCUCCUCGCGCCGCGCCGCCGCGCGCACCGUUGCCCCCCCCCCUUCCCC
ensembl:lncRNA